CCCUCUCAGCUUCUCUUUUCCAGGCAGAAUAGACCCAACUCUCUCCGUCUUUAAGUAGGUGCUAUAAAGGAGCACCUGCAUCCCCAUUCCGUGCCUUCCCAGGAUCCCAAGGGAUGCAGCGCUGCUUUGGAAGCAGCCCUUCCAGGAUUACAAAUCUUCAUCAAAGGCAAGAGGAAUUGUCCGAGGAAUGAGGACUUCAAGAUUCAAUGAGUGCAUACUGUGCCAGACAGGAUGGAACUAAGUGAAAUCUUUGCAACAAAUGACGCUAUUACGGAUAUGUGCUUGCACAGAAAGCCAGCAAAAGGGCAUUGAACCACCUUGGCUAUAUUUUGGUGUUAUUGUUGACACCCAGAGUUGCACAGCUUUUUGCUCAAAGCAGGUUUCCAUGUCUUCACAGAGAGAUUAGUUCAGGUAUGAACUAAUCAUACUGAUGGUUAGUUCCUGAUGAUUGCUGUCAUCUCUCUCCCUUCAAACUGAAGGGGUCCUGCUGAAGCCAUAUCUCAUCCCCCUGGGGUUAUUUGCUGCACUUUAUCCUCAGUCCAUCAGCUACUUCUGAAAAAGCCUUGGGUCACCAGGAGAGAAACUGGCUGGGUCAUCAAGAAAGCGUAUGCUUGGAAGAGAGAAAAAAACAAUCAGUCUGUAGGAGCGUAUGCCAUUAAAAGCAAAAACCAGCCUACACGUGUAAGAGCGGCAGCCUCUACAGUGUGGAGUACGUCCACAUGCUUAGCCUGUUGUUUCAGAAACUCCGACUCCCUUCAGCUGUGAUCGCUCUCAACUGUUUGCAGUCUGUGUGCGGUGACGUGCGUGGCAUAUUACUAUGAAAAUGUGCAUUCUUGUUAAUAGGUAUGGUUUAGGAUGAUUGUUAGCAGAGCAUAAGGCCUUAUUGACUGAAAGUGGCAUAUGGCAAGGAUGUAUAAUGAUUCACUUUGGCUGCUAGUUUGAAAUCCUAUUCAUGGGCGAAAAAAACCCCACUCUCCUUUGCAGUCAGGCUUCAUUCUUUCUGCAGUGUGUUUUUCAAAUGGGGCCAUUUUACAAGUGAUCCAUAGGAGAGAUUUGCUGCUCUCCUGGGUGUGUGCUCAAAGCUCUUUUCAGUCCUGCAAGGGCAGGUCACAAUAACAAAAGGUGAAGUUAUCAUAUGCUUCCCUUUGAGGGAAAGGUUGGUUGUCUUGUCUUUUUGAGGGCAUUUAGUGUUUAUGAAAGGUGGUGCCAGGGAGAGGUCCAGCCCGAGCAAUGCCCAUUUUCCAGCAGCACGUUGGUGCCCGGUGGGAGAACAUGUGAAUCCCCACCUGCAGCAACAGCCUCGUGGAAAUGAUUUUGACAUUUUUACCAAUUCCAUUUUGGAAAGACGAAGCUGCCAGUGCUCCAGCAAGCUGCAGUGAAGGUGAACACUUCUGGAUCCAGCUUCUCGUCACCAGGGGGGGAAAAAAAGCAUGUUCCUACAUGGCAUUAGCAAAUACAGAGUAAUUAACCUGAGGUAAAAUCCCAGUGAAGGCGAAGCAGCCAAAGUAUUAAUACAUGUGAACUGACAGAGAUAAGCCCUGAGGACCUCAUCCAUCUUCCGUGUGUGUUAGCAGGUCCAAGUAAAGCUUGAGUUGUCUCACCUGUUUUGCCACGUGUAGACUGACAAAGUAAGCAGAGACCCUGUGGCUGGGUAAAGGUGGCACCUUGUAAGUCCUGAAUGCCACCCCCACCACAUCACUGGUACUUCUGAGGGGUGUGGUGAGCCUCAAGAGAAGUGUCCUGAAGGACAGCAGCUCAGAGUGACGCUGCCCCAGCACUCAAAAGCAAAUCCUAUUCCCCAGGAGGCCAGGGCAGGGAAGAGUUUUGGUGGGUUGGCUGAACAGUGGAGAAAAGGGUGAUUCCAGCAGCACCUCAGAGCUAUCUUGCAACUUCUACUAUACAGAGAAAACCUGCAAGGACUGGUCCUAACCCACCAGUGGAUCAGCUCAUCAGGAAGAUAACUGAUGGAGAGAAUGAGAUGAUCUCUGCCCGUUCCUAUAGCCCUGCAAGCCUCCCUGACCUCUAUCUGGCUGAUUUAAUAACAUAAUGUUUGGUGAUAUCUGGACACUUUUCUUGGCAACAGCACCACAAACUAUUCAAACAUCAUUCCCCUCAGUACUGGAAGUACAGCCCUUGUAUUUCCCCACCAGCAAAUAAAGAGCAGAGCCUUCAUAUAUGUCUCUCCUGGGAACCAAUGCUUUCUAGGAAUUGCUUACAAAGAAUUAAGUAACCCAUUUGAUUGUCAUCCAGAAGCCCUGGGCUUGCUCCAUGAUCUUGCACGAUUCUUUUUUCCAGGGAGAUACUUCUUGGAGAUGGUCUCAAGGAUUUGCCUGUGGUAGGCAAAACAGGCCUUCCUUGAAUAAAAUAACUCUGAAUAAGCAAAUAAACUGAAUGCCUUUCAUUA